rnacentral:tRNA from 1 species
GGGCGGCUAGCUCAGUUGGUUAGAGCGCAUGCUCGACACGCAUGAGGUCACAGGUUCGAAUCCCGUGUCGCCCA